rnacentral:rRNA from 1 species
UUCCCCCGGGCUCAACCUGGGAACUGCAUUGGUGACUGGCAGGCUAGAGUAUGGCAGAGGGGGGUAGAAUUCCACGUGUAGCAGUGAAAUGCGUAGAGAUGUGGAGGAAUACCGAUGGCGAAGGCAGCCCCCUGGGCCAAUACUGACGCUCAUGCACGAAAGCGUGGGGAGCAAACAGGAUUAGAUACCCUGGUAGUCCACGCCCUAAACGAUGUCAACUAGUUGUUGGGGAUUCAUUUCCUUAGUAACGUAGCUAACGCGUGAAGUUGACCGCCUGGGGAGUACGGUCGCAAGAUUAAAACUCAAAGGAAUUGACGGGGACCCGCACAAGCGGUGGAUGAUGUGGAUUAAUUCGAUGCAACGCGAAAAACCUUACCUACCCUUGACAGGGUGGAAUCCUGUUUCUGG